rnacentral:rRNA from 1 species
UCCAGUUGAUCCUGCUGGAGGAUUCUGCUUUUGGAGUUCGAUUUAGACAUGCAAGUCAGAUCGCAAGAUCGGCGAACGGCUCAGUAACACGUAGGCAACUUGCCCUAAGGACCGGGAUAACUUCGGGAAACUGAGGGUAAUACCGGAUAAGGAAUGGAUAUUGGAAGAUACUAUUCCUCAAAUCAUUUGGCCUUAGGAUAGGCCUGCGGCAGAUUAGCCUGUUGGUGGGGUAAUGGCCCACCAAAGCUAUAAUCUGUACGGGCGAUGGGAGUCGGAGCCCGGAGAGGGGGACUGAGACAAGGCCCCCAGCCCUACGGGGCGCAGCAGUUACGAAACCUUUACAAUGCGCGAAAGCGUGAUAAGGGAACUCCAAGUGAUUAUGCGCGAGCAUAAUCUUUUGCCAAGUGUAAAUAGCUUGGCGAAUAAGGACUGGGUAAGACCCGUGCCAGCCGCCGCGGUAAUACGGGCAGUCCGAGUGGUGUCCAUGAAUACUGGGCUUAAAGCGUCCGUAGCUGGUUUGGUAAGUUUUCUGUGAAAGCCUGUGGCUCAACUGCAGGAAGUGCAGAAAAUACUGCCAGACUUGGAGGCGGGAGAGGUUAGGGGUACGUAUAGGGUAGCGGUAGAAUGCAGUAAUCCUAUACGGACCACCGGUAGCGAAGGCGCCUAACUAGAACGCACUCGACAGUGAGGGACGAAAGCCAGGGGAGCGACAGGGAUUAGAUACCCCUUUAGUCCUGGCCGUAAAGGAUGCAAACUAGGUGUGGUGUAACCCUCGUGGUUGGGCUGUGCCGAAGGGAAACCGUUAAGUUUGCCGCCUGGGGAGUACGAUCGCAAGGUUGAAACUUAAAGGAAUUGGCGGGGGAGCACUACAACGGGUGGAUGCUGCGGUUUAAUUGGAUAAAACGCCGGACAUCUCACCAGGGGAGACAGCAGAAUGAUAGUCAUUCUGAAGGGAUUACUUGACAAGCUGAGAGGUGUUGCAUGGCCAUCGCCAGCUCGUGCUGUGAAGUGUCCUCUCAAGUGAGGCAACGAGCGAGACCCACGCCCUUAGUUACUAAGUGUAUUAUUACAAUGCACAGGACUCUAAGGGGCCUGCCAGAGCUAAUCUGGAGGAAGGAGUGGGCGACGGUAGGUCAGUAUGACCCUAAUCUCCUGGGCUACACGUGGCAUACAUUGGUAGGCACAAUGGGAUGCAACUCCGAAAGGAGAAGCCAAUCCCCUAAAACCUAUCUAAGUCUGGAUUGAGGGCUGUAACUCGCCCUCAUGAAAAUGGAAUCCGUAGUAGUCGCGUGUCACUAUCGCGCGGCGAAUGUGUCCCUGCUCCUUGCACACACCGCCUGCCAAGCCAUCCAAGCGGGGUUUAAGUGAGGCCCGAUCCCUAGGGUUGGGUCGAUCUUAGACUUUGUGAGGCGGGCUAAGGCAUAACAAGGUA